AUUGAACGCUAGCGGGGUGCCUUACACAUGCAAGUCGAACGGAAUGUCGAACGGGUAAGUACUGUAUCGGAAGUUGCCCAUUAGUAGGGGAUCAAUACGAGAAAGCUUAGCUAAGACCGCAGACUAUUGCAGCGGCCUCUAUCGGAGUAGCUAGUUGGUGGGGUAACGGCUCACCAAGGCGACGAUCCGUAGCUGGUUUGAGAGGACGACCAGCCACACUGGGACUGAGACACGGCCCAGACUCCUACGGGAGGCAGCAGUGGGGAAUUUUGGACAAUGGGGGAAAGCCUGAUCGAGCAAUCCCGCGUGUGCGAUGAAGGCCUUCGGGUUGUAAAGCUCUGUUGGCAGAAAAGCGGUAUCUGCAGAAUAAGCAACGGCUAACUACGUGCCAGCAGCCGCGGUAAUAC
rnacentral:rRNA from 1 species